rnacentral:rRNA from 1 species
CCUACGGGAGACUGCAGUGAGGAAUAUUGGUCAAUGGACGCAAGUCUGAACCAGCCAUGCCGCGUGCAGGAAGACGGCUCUAUGAGUUGUAAACUGCUUUUGUACGAGGGUAAACGCAGAUACGCGUAUCUGUCUGAAAGUAUCGUACGAAUAAGGAUCGGCUAACUCCGUGCCAGCAGCCGCGGUAAUACGGAGGAUUCAAGCGUUAUCCGGAUUUAUUGGGUUUAAAGGGUGCGUAGGCGGUCGGAUAAGUUAGAGGUGAAAUCCCGAGGCUCAACUUCGGAAUUGCCUCUGAUACUGUUCGGCUAGAGAGUAGUUGCGGUAGGCGGAAUGUAUGGUGUAGCUGUGAAAUGCUUAGAGAUCAUACAGAACACCGAUUGCGAAGGCAGCUUACCAAGCUACUUCUGACGUUGAGGCACGAAAGCGUGGGGAGCAAACAGGAUUAGAUACCCGAGUAGUC